UCCCAGCCUGAAAAUCAUAAAACGAAAUCUUUUUCGCUUUCCGAUCUUUAGGCUGGGCAGUUUUUCGUGACACUUGUAACACGAAACAGGGGUUGCGCUCGUUACCCCAAUUAAGGGAACGCCUCACGGCACGAGCUGACGACAACCAUGCAGCACCUGUGCUUACUGUUCUUGCGAAGGGCUAAUGUUUCCAAAAGCUUGCAAUAAGCAUUUCAAACCCUGGUGAGGUUCUUCGUUCUGUGUCGAAUUAAACCUCAUGUUCCACCGCUUGUGCGAGUCCCCGUCUAUUCCUUUGAGUUUUAAUCUUGCGAUCGUACUUCCCAGGCGGCAGGUUUAACGCGUUAGCUCCGCCACUCCGAGGGUCGAUACUCGAAACAGCAAACCUGCAUCGUUUAGGGCG
rnacentral:misc_RNA from 1 species